GGAUUGCAAAUGACCUGAAUCAAAUAAGGUAGAUCAGAGCUCCCAAGCAACUCCGCGUCCCUCCCCCUUCCCCCAGCCGUACGAACCGCGGCCGUCCCUCUUCCUUUUUUUUACCCGUGCUGCGACCCUCUACCUUCCUCAUCCGUCGACGUGUUAAUAUAUAUCCCACCGGUAUGAGUACUAUACGCACGAAGUGGACCUCAGGCCUCCGAAUCGGACGACCAUGCCCAUGCCUCGCAGGAAGUGGACUGCAAACGCCGCACAGCCUGACGACAGAGCUCCCAGGCACACAAGCACCAGCGCUGCCAGAGCCCAUCUAUCAAAACGCAUGAUACGGGCUUUCGACCGGCUGAAAUGAUGCAAAUCAUCACGCUUUGGCGCCCCUGUCGCACGUUCUUUUCGUCAGCAUCACGCCGCGCGUCGCCACGUCAAGCAGUAGCCAACCCAACCCAACCCAGGCCAACUACGCGGCGAGACGGGUAAAAAAGAAGGAGCGUCCUGCUUUGGCGGCACAUGGCCUAACGGAAUCCCAAAACCCGUUUUACAGGUCGGUACUCCAACUCAUACCAGCGAACUUGCCAACCGCUUCUAAGCUAACGCGCCCCGGGCACGCUCGCGAACCAGCGGAUGGCCAUUUGGAUGAAUCGCUCCAGCGCCGGGACCUGACGCCUGUACGGCAACGUGAGGUCAUUAAUCUUCCGCCAAACCUGCAAAGCAGGGUCAGCAGCCCCGUGAUACGGGUUUGCGAAGGCGGGGCGGAGGAGUCAGUGGAGUCAGUAGAAAUCGGUCAAGGCAGGCCAUGAGGCAACGCGCCCAUGAAGACCUGAGGCAGUGAUGGCGAAACGGCCAAUCGUGAUGGGCCAAAAUGGCUUGUUCCCCUUUAGGGGAUGGGAUGGGGAACAAGUUGCAGUGUAGCUCGCGCUAGUAAGCUCAGAAGUCGUGGAGACGAUUCGACAUGUGUGUGUGUGUGUGUGUUACAUGGUUGGGGGUGCGUGACCCCAUACCUGUAAGACUACCCAUAAGAGCCGAAGGCCCAAGGCCCUUGGGCCAAGGGCAAUACUACAACCCCUAAAAGCCACGAUUCGACAUGCGCCGGGAAGGAUGCCCGUCUCCACAAUAUACACGAACGAACACAUAGCCCUGCGGUGCCCUACAUCCCAUAUUUACGAAGCUUAAUUACUAAGUCGAAACUUUAAACUCUUUCUUUUUUCAAAUGAUCUCCCCAGAGAACCCUAGCCCGCAAUAGAGGGCCUCGCGUUUCCCAUGCCUGGCUCUCGGCCGGCUAUUAUUGACGUCAUCGGCAAGCCAGACGGUCUCCAGUGUCAAUGAUAUUCCAGCACAACUCUUGCUCCUCUAUUUCACACAGCUCUGGAACCCUGAUGCCAUACCCCGAUGAUGCCAUUGCCUACCUGUCUGUUUGUCUAUAUGCCAUACAAUGACAGUAAGUCUGUUUAUGUAUCUGUCUUACGGAUAUCCAAGUAAAGCCAGGAACAGGAAGGAGUCGGAGACACAUCCCCAAACCCCGCAACUCCUCCUCCCGCCGCCUUUCCCCUUUUCCCACCUGCCGAUGUUGCGGUGCGCUGUCCGGCACGUGCAGCUUGAGCUUCAGAAUCUGUCCGUAAAACACCAGAGUGAGGAGGCUGCGAGCUGGUGUAAGCAGCUGCAGCACCAACAAGGCCGCGGUACCGAUCUCACAAAAGGCGUUGAGCAGCAGCGCGUCGGCCUGGCGAAGGAGGGAGGGGUUGCGUGGGAUUACAUAAAGUCCCUGCAGUAACCCCCUAGGCACACGUACACACACACACACACACACCACGCCACACACACACGCACACACACCAUUUCCGCCUGCGCGCUUAAAUCACAGCCUGGCCCGGUCCUCAGUCCGCCUGCCUCCCUCAUCCCUGACUUCUCCUUCUUUUUUUGACGCCUUCAGGCAGCAGGUCAUUUAUCUGCAUUCCUUGCAGCAUAUGAUUUCCCCCUCCCCCUCUCCCUCCCCCUCCCCCUCUCCCUCCCCCUCCCCCUCCCCCUCUCCCGCGACCCGGGGGUGAGCACCGGGCGCACUCAGACCGCCUACCUGCUUUCGAAGCAUCGCCACGUGUAGGCGGCUGCCGUACCGCUGCCACAGAGCAUG
rnacentral:lncRNA from 1 species